UACGAAGGUGGCAAGCGUUACUCGGAAUUAUUGGGCGUAAAGAGCUCGUAGGCGGUUUGUCGCGUCGACUGUGAAAACCUGGGGCUUAACUCUGGGCCUGCAGUCGAUACGGGCAGACUUGAGUUCGGUAGGGGAGACUGGAAUUCCUGGUGUAGCGGUUAAAUGCGCAGAUAUCAGGAGGAACACCGGUGGCGAAGGCGGUUCUCUGGGCAUGUCCUGACGCUGAGGAGCGAAAGUGUGGGGAGCGAACAGG
rnacentral:rRNA from 1 species